ensembl:lncRNA
AAAAAUAGUUUUUGUGUUAUUUAGAGGGAAAUGCAUGCAUUUUAGCUUUUCAAAUGUUGUUAAAAGUUCCAAAUACAUUUUUAAAGUAGCUAAAUUUGUUGCUAGGUGCUGUUUGAAAAAAAAAGUUGCCAGGGUAGUCUGAAAAGUUGAUAAAUCUAGCAACAAAAUUGCUAAAUUGGCAUCACUGCUCUGAUGCCAACAGUUGAUCCGGGUCAGUCCAGGUCUGGCCAUGCAGGGAGACCCAGGGAAGGUGGAACUACACAGUCUGGAGGUACAGUUCUAGGUUAAAAAAAGCAGGAAAGUAUUAGUAUGGAGUAGGGUAUAUCUUCGGGGCAGAAUUGUUGUGUUGAAUUAGCAGGUUAUGAGGAAGGAGUCGCAAUCAUUAUAGUGAAUACAGUAGGCAUCCAGGCUGAUUCGUUUGGAUUGGUGGAGCUGCUGAGCUGUUCUUAUCAACAUUGAGCCGGAGUGUUAGACGUUUCUGUUGUUGUGUUACUGAGAGGCUGUUUGUUUGUUUUGUCUGCAGAUAAUUCUGGGGGAAACGGGAGCAGCGGGACAUGAGAUAAUUUCCUGGGCCGCUGGCUAGGGAAGACCUGCACAAAGGAGAUGCCAUGUGUUUUGUCCACCAGAGGGCAGAAGCCUGCAUGAUAAGGGCUCUGCCGGCCUCCUUUGGAAUCUACUUGUACUGCUGUUCAGCCAAAAUGGAGUAGGUGAACAUCUCUUCACGCUCUUAUAUUAGCGUAUUGUUGGCUCAGACAUGGUAGAGCUGAGGAACUCUCAGGGACAAUAUGGUUCAGGAGGCAGUGAAGGCUCAGAGGCCCCUACCCUAAUAGAUCUGAGCGAGGGCCCCAGUCCUGAGACAAACACCUUGGAUGGAGCAGACCUACUAACAGGGGCAGCCACUAGUGUCUGUAUGGCUGAGUUCACAGAGAAGGAUAUGCAGGGAUACGCCAAGCUUCUCCUGGCUGGACGGAAGAAGGUCAGGGUAAACUCUCUGUCCCUGUCUCAGUUUGUCGGUCUGUGUCUUUCUCUCUCUUUUUUGGUCUCGCUCCUCACUGUUCCCCUCUCUAUUUAUAUCAGAGAUAUUUAGUAAGAUUAAUGGUAAAAUCAUCUCCUAUGUAUUCUGAGAGUAAUAGAUGGUGUAUGACACUGAUUAAAACCACAAAGACAGCAUAGUUGACACAUUACUGUCUGACUAAUGUUACACCAGGACUAUCCUCUUACUCCUCCAACACUAACCCCUGACACUGUGUUCUUCUGCAACCCUUCCACGUCUCCAUGUUCUUUCACACCUCCUUCACCCCUGCCCUAUGCCUCCAUCAUAACUCCCCACGCCUCAUGUCUCCUCCAGAUACUUUAGACUCACAGAUCCCCCCUCUGCUAGCUCUCCCACAUCUCCCUUACACCUCCCCAUGCCUCCCCACGUCUCCCCCCACAGUUCCUUCACACCUCCCCCACACCUUCCCAUUGUUCCUUCACGCCUUCCCAUGCCUCCCUCCACGCCUCAUUCACAUCUCCUCCACAUCACCUUUAUGGUUCUUUCGCAUGAAGCCCUAGAGUCGGCCAUGAAGAGUGGACUGUGGGGACACGCCCUGUUCCUGGCCAGCAAGAUGGACAACAGGUUCUAUAUCACUGUGUGGAACAGGUGAGAGCAUGGAGCAGCAUUAUCUCUGAGACAUUACAACAUAGAUAUAGAAUAUUUGUCCGCAUAGUAAAUUGAAUUGACUGUUUGAUAUUUUGUUUUCAGUGGCACUUUUUACAGGUCAUAAACACCCCCUUAUAGGGAUAUUAAGUCUUUAAUUAAUUCCUAGAAGAUUGAUCUUUCUCCGGACUUUCAUAAGUAAAAUCUAUAUAUACUGUCUUUGUCCCAAAUGGCACCUUAUUCCCUACAUAGUGCACUACGUUGACCAGAGCCCUAUGGAUCCUGGUCGAAAGUGGCACACCAUGUAGGGAAUAGGGUGCUAUUUGGGACAUAUACACUGUUUCUAUCCUGUAGUACUUUGGUCACUCACUUACAGCUGUUGUCUUCUUCCUAUAAUCUAAGCAAGGAUAUUCCUGUUGUGAACCCUGUGAAUUGCUCAGUCAAUAAUACACAGAGAUGGACUAUAUCAUAAUAUCCUUGUGAACUGCUAGACCUCGUAACCCAACUCUUCAUACUGCAUAAUCAGCAGUGCCUCCAUGCCUAGAGAGAGAAUGUGUUUUUGGGGGCAGUAAGGCCACAUGAGUGGGGGAGUUGGAUGGAGCUGGGAAUUCCCAGCCUGGGAGGAAGCAGGAGGGAGAGGCGAAUGGAGACGAGGAUGAGGGGGGAGGAGUGAGGCUGGGGAGAGUAUAUAUAUAUAUAUAUAUAUAUGUGUGUGUGUGUGUAUAUAUAUGUGUGUGUGUGUGUGUGUGUAUAGAUAUAUAUGUAGAUAGAUAUAUAUAUACGUGUAUAUGUGUGUUGGUUUGUGUAUAUAUAUAUACAUAGAUUAUUAUAUA